AGAGUUUGAUCCUGGCUCAGGAUGAACGCUAGCGACAGGCUUAACACAUGCAAGUCGAGGGGCAGCACGGGAGUAGCAAUACAACUGGUGGCGACCGGCGCACGGGUGAGUAACGCGUAUGCAACCUACCUAUCAGAGGGGAAUAACCCGGCGAAAGUCGGACUAAUACCGCAUAAAACAGGGGCACCGCAUGGUGAUAUUUGUUAAAGAAAUUCGCUGAUAGAUGGGCAUGCGUUCCAUUAGGUAGUUGGUGAGGUAACGGCUCACCAAGCCGACGAUGGAUAGGGGAACUGAGAGGUUGGUCCCCCACACUGGUACUGAGACACGGACCAGACUCCUACGGGAGGCAGCAGUGAGGAAUAUUGGUCAAUGGGCGGGAGCCUGAACCAGCCAAGUCGCGUGAAGGAAGAAGGAUCUAUGGUUCGUAAACUUCUUUUGCAGGGGAAUAAAGUGCAGGACGUGUCCUGUUUUGUAUGUACCCUGAGAAUAAGGAUCGGCUAACUCCGUGCCAGCAGCCGCGGUAAUACGGAGGAUCCGAGCGUUAUCCGGAUUUAUUGGGUUUAAAGGGUGCGUAGGUGGUUUGAUAAGUCAGCGGUGAAAGUUUGCAGCUUAACUGUAAAAAUGCCGUUGAAACUGUCGGACUUGAGUGUAAAUGAGGUAGGCGGAAUGCGUGGUGUAGCGGUGAAAUGCAUAGAUAUCACGCAGAACUCCGAUUGCGAAGGCAGCUUACUAAGCUACAACUGACACUGAAGCACGAAGCGUGGGGAUCAAMAGGAUUAGAUACCUGGUAGUCCACGCAGUAAACGAUGAUUACUAGCUGUU
rnacentral:rRNA from 1 species